rnacentral:tRNA from 1 species
AGAGGUCCCGGGUUCGAUUCCCGGUCAGGGCUGAAGUAUGAUCAGCCUGUUACAUAUAAAAAUAAAUUAAAUAGGCAUCAAUGAUCUAUAUUCGAUACGGACAAAUGCCUGCAAUUGAAGGGUAUGUUUGACAGUAUUGCAACUGUAACAGUCUCAGGAAAAAUGUGCAGCCUCGACCGGGUUUCAAACCUCGGACCUUCUGCUUACCAUGCCAGAGCUCUACCGACUGAGCUACAUGUACCGAGGCCACCCGAUACGAGAACCGCUACACAGCUUCCCUCUUAUUGCGAGACAUUAGCACUCCUGGCCAAUGUCUGCCGCAGACUGUUAACUGAAUUCAGAUUCACACCCCAUCCAAACUGCUUUGCCCUGCAUGGGCUCCAAGGGUGAGCAUCCUGGACGAGCCGCCAAAUGUAACAGUCUCAGGAAAAAUGUGCAGCCUCGACGGGGAUUCAAACCUCGGACCUUCGGCUUACCAUGCCAACGCUCUACCAGUUGAGCUACCGAGGCCACCCGAUACGAGAACCGCUUAUUCAACUACACAACUAAUAUGACCUGUCUGUAUUGAACAUAUGUUUACUGGAUAAUAAAGUCAAGGAAUUCUCUUGCCCUCCAAUAAAUUAACUGAAAGCCGCCUAGCCUGCAUGAUAGUCAUCAGGUAACCCAAUGCCUAGUCGAGAGUCCUCUAGGGGUUUUGUAUCUGGCUUGAAAUCUUGAUUUGACAUAUUUGUGAUAUUACAUAUGUCAUGCAAUGUAAGUUACAAAUGAAACAUUCUUAUCACACAAGCUUGGUAUCACAGUUUAUUAUAAUGUCUUUAAAACUAUUUAUGUUGCAGAAUGCCAGAAGAAAUUACAGACAACAAUACUGCUCAGUGCAGUAACCAGACCUGAAAUAAAACACUGCUCAAGGCAUACUUUUGGGACAGAGUGCUGCAUACAUGGGCUUAUGCACAAACUGAGAUUUUGCAAGUCAACUGUCAAAGUCAUAAAGAGAGAUCUAUAGUGGACAAUGUUGAACAGAGUUGAAGUCCUGGAAUCUCGGUCAACUGCAGAUAGCAGCAUGGCGUAAAGCAGUCGUCUUGUUUCCCAGUCCAAUUUUAGUCAGGUAUGAAACUGCAGUCAACACAGGUUUUUAGAGGUCUGCAAGUACAGAGUUUUAAAUUGUGAAACAAUACCUCUAACCAGUUAGCAGAGUGUGUGUGUGUUAUGCUGUGCUGAGAUAUUGUUGUGACAUAUGGUGCAUUAAGGUCCAUAACCUGGUAUUAUAUGAGCUGACAACUGUACAAGACAUCCUAUUGAAGACAAUUCUGAGUGAGCAACGGCCCAAGACACCUUGUUAAUGCUGCCCUGUUAUCUACUGAGUUUCUAAAUACAAGUCAAGUAUCCAUCAAAGAUUGGCCAUGGUGUUUACAGAACUGAAAGCCAAGCUGUGAUUUUUGAAAAUUUAUUAUAAAGUUCUAAAUGGAAAUACAAUUUGAAAAGCA